rnacentral:rRNA from 1 species
CUGCAGUCGAGCGGAGCACUUCGGUGCUUAGCGGCGGACGGGUGAGUAACACGUAGGCAACCUGCCUGUAAGACCGGGAUAACUAUCGGAAACGAUAGCUAAGACCGGAUAACUGGUUUUCUCGCAUGGGAGAAUCAUGAAACACGGAGCAAUCUGUGGCUUACAGAUGGGCCUGCGGCGCAUUAGCUAGUUGGUGAGGUAACGGCUCACCAAGGCGACGAUGCGUAGCCGACCUGAGAGGGUGAACGGCCACACUGGGACUGAGACACGGCCCAGACUCCUACGGGAGGCAGCAGUAGGGAAUCUUCCGCAAUGGACGCAAGUCUGACGGAGCAACGCCGCGUGAGUGAUGAAGGUUUUCGGAUCGUAAAGCUCUGUUGCCCUAGACGAACAGCAUCAGGAGUAACUGCCUGGUGUGUGACGGUAUAGGAGAAGAAAGCCCCGGCUAACUACGUGCCAGCAGCCGCGGUAAUACGUAGGGGGCAAGCGUUGUCCGGAAUUAUUGGGCGUAAAGCGCGCGCAGGCGGUUAAUUAAGUUGGGUGUUUAAGCCCGGGGCUCAACCCCGGUUCGCAUCCAAAACUGGUUGACUUGAGUGUAGGAGAGGAAAGUGGAAUUCCACGUGUAGCGGUGAAAUGCGUAGAGAUGUGGAGGAACACCAGUGGCGAAGGCGACUUUCUGGCCUAUAACUGACGCUGAGGCGCGAAAGCGUGGGGGAGCAAACAGGAUUAGAUACCCUGGUAGUCCACGCCGUAAACGAUGCAUACUAGGUGUUGGGGAUUCGAUUCCUCGGUUCCCGAAGUUUAACACAGUAAGUUAUGCCGCCUGGGGGAGUACGCCUCGCAAGAGUGAAAACUCAAAAGGAAAUUGACGGGGACCCGCACAAACCAGUGGAAGUAUGUGGGUUUUA